rnacentral:rRNA from 1 species
AACGUAGGGGGCAAGCGUUGUCCGGAAUUACUGGGCGUAAAGGGCGUGUAGGCGGCUCGUGAAGUCAGGAGUGAAAACCCGGGGCUCAACCCCGGGCGUGCUUUUGAAACCAGCGGGCUUGAGUGCAGGAGAGGGAAGUGGAAUUCCCAGUGUAGCGGUGAAAUGCGUAGAUAUUGGGAGGAACACCAGUGGCGAAAGCGGCUUCCUGGACUGUAACUGACGCUGAGGCG